AUGCAUCAAGGCUACUCAAAGGUCUUCUUCCCUACGGAAAUAUUCAGUUGGAAGAUAAACAUACUAAGACAACACCAAGUUCUGGUAAUCAGACAAAAGACAAACUCUCCGUUGUCCAAGCAAUAUUGACUAAGACACAACAUGUGUUUUCCCAACACACAUAAUGACUAAAAUCUGUGAGGAUCAGUAAGCCCAUUUUUUUAGACCAGAGGACGUGGAGGUCACAACCCAUCAGGGCAAAGAUAGGCAUCGGCGUCGUCGUAGCGGCGAGCAAAUGGCAUAUACGAUAUGAAAUCAGAGGGUGAAUGCCAUCUGAUUCCAGAGGGUUCUCCAUGCGUGUCAACGGGGGAAAAGGCCAUCACAGAGUUGGAUUGUUUCCCUCCGAAAAGAAAGGUGGAGGAUGCCUGACUGAAUGGAAGCAUCUGGUUCAGCGGUUCAUCUCCCAGCGUCCAGACCACUGGCGUGUUGAAGAUGGAUGGAGUGUCCUGGACAAGGGGGUUUAAAGUCCCCCUGAUUUGACAAUCACGCAUUCCAGGGGGGGACGGUUCUGCCUGGCCAAUGAUCUUUAUUGAGGAGAAGGAGUUAAAAGAAGCAUGUCAUUGCUCCCGUUUGAUGUCCUCUGCAUCCGGCUCACUUUCCGUGCCAGGAGCUGUGGUCAACGCCUUUUCCACAGAGCGCCUGAUCAAAAACGGGAUUUACGUCAGCUGCUCCGGUGAAUUGGCAAUAUUCUGCAAACUGAUGGUCAUUUGUGUACAAAUGUACUUGUCAGGAGACUAAAACUGUGUCCUGAACGCUGCUAUUGCUUCGGCUUAGUCGUGUUGAGAGGAUUUUGGAGAAUGCUGUGCUAAAAUUAGGCACAAAGCAUUGUUUUCUUUGGUGAAUUCUGAGGACAUGAUCAAACCCAAGGACAGUUGUUUGGGAAUAGUUGGCACAAUUAGACGACAUUUAUUAGUUAGCCAACAAUAUUUUCC
ensembl:lncRNA